rnacentral:lncRNA from 1 species
GAGGAUUGCGGACCAGGUUGACCAGAUGUCUCCUGAGUCUAGUGAGGAUUACAAAGCAGUUCGUGUCACCAAUGGUGUCACGAGGAAAUAGAUAGUUAUGCCAGGAAGCUGAGAGGAAGUACGAGAACUACGUGUGGCUUGAUCCCUUAUUAAGGGUACGUAGGCAACCUAGGGUUCUAGAUGCAGCCACGAGGUCAAGUAAU